rnacentral:tRNA from 1 species
UGGGUAUAGUUUAGUUAUAAACAUUAGAUUGUGGUUUUAAAAUCAGAGGUUAAAGUCCUCUUACUCACC